rnacentral:tRNA from 1 species
GCCUGGGUAGCUCAGUGGGAGAGCUCCGUCUUGAUAAGGCGGCGGUCGAUGGUUCGAUCCCAUCUUCAGGCACCA